AUUGAACGCUGGCGGCAUGCCUUACACAUGCAAGUCGAACGGUAACAGGUCUUCGGAUGCUGACGAGUGGCGAACGGGUGAGUAAUACAUCGGAACGUGCCCAGACGUGGGGGAUAACGAGGCGAAAGCUUUGCUAAUACCGCAUACGAUCUAAGGAUGAAAGCAGGGGACCGCAAGGCCUUGUGCGUUUGGAGCGGCCGAUGGCAGAUUAGGUAGUUGGUGGGAUAAAAGCUUACCAAGCCGACGAUCUGUAGCUGGUCUGAGAGGACGACCAGCCACGCUGGGACUGAGACACGGCCCAGACUCCUACGGGAGGCAGCAGUGGGGAAUUUUGGACAAUGGGCGAAAGCCUGAUCCAGCAAUGCCGCGUGCAGGAUGAAGGCCUUCGGGUUGUAAACUGCUUUUGUACGGAACGAAAAGGCUCUGGCUAAUACCUGGGGCACAUGACGGUACCGUAAGAAUAAGCACCGGCUAACUACGUG
rnacentral:rRNA from 1 species